rnacentral:tmRNA from 1 species
GGGGAUGAUCGGUUUCGACAUUGCCUGCAAAACUGCGAGAAGCGGGUCGAGGAUGCAGCCUCAUCUCGUCAACGAUGGUUGCAAACCAAUAACUGCCGAUUCCAAGCGCAGUGACCUUGCUCUUGCUGCCUAGCAGCAACUAGCACAACAGGUCCGUCAGUCCGGGAACGCCCCCUACCCGGUUGCUGGCGUCAUCCAGGGGGAUUGCUACGCGGUCGUGCCUCAGGGUCGCGUGGGACUCGCACUGAGACUGGGCCCGUCGACCUAGGUGCUCGUGGCAAAGGUCGGGGCCGAGCAGAACGCUUGUACGAGCUACGCCCGUAGAAGGCGCAGGAUUACAGCAGUGGACGGGGGUUCGAUUCCCCCCAUCUCCACCA